UGAGAACUGAAUUCCAUGGGUUGUAAUUGAAUCUUGAACAGACCCAUGGGGCUCAGUUCUUCA
rnacentral:pre_miRNA from 1 species